rnacentral:rRNA from 1 species
GUCUAUGGCAAUGCCACCCUGAACAAGCCCAAUCCUGUCUGAUCUUGGAAGCUAAGCAGGGUCGAACCUGGUUAUUGCUUGGAUGGGAGACCACCUAGGAAGACCAGGUACUGGUUUUU